AGCCAGCAGUUACAGGACUCACUCAGCACUCACACAAACUGAAGGGCCCGGUCUCACUCCUACCGUGCCCCCCACAACAGCCCUGAGUCUGUUUCCAGGUGGUGGGCGAGAGGGGUUUGAAAAUUUGCCCCAGGCUAUCCGCCUCCCAGCUGGGCAAGAAAAGGGCGUGGUUGUUCCCCCACUGAGGAGUCUGCACACCGGAUUUGCAUCUUCCCCUGAGUUCUGGCCUGGAGGCUUCUCGCCCCUGCAAAUUGUUACAAAGUUCAGCUAGAGGGUUCCUUCUUCCUGUGGAGUUUUACCUUCUGCUCCUCUGGCCACCCUCCUGAUGGAUCCCUGUGGUGCCAGGCAGGAAUGACCUGCUUAAGGACCCAGCGAGCUCCCAGGACCUUUCUGCUGCUUCCUCUACCCGUAUAUUUUGCUUGCUUCUCUACAUUGACUCAGCUCCAGCGAUUCCUGAGGAAUCUCAUCCACACUACCCUAUGGACUAAAAGGAAAAGCUCUUCAUGUGGUGUUAGCACGGAGAUGAGAAAGAGAGAAAGACAACAUCAUGCUUUGCUGUCUGUGUGUGAACUGAGUAACAGCUGUGAAGGAUCAGUCACCAAAAGACUUUGAAAGAAGAGGCUUGAUUGGUCACGGCCAUGGAAGUUUAAUUGGGAGAAAAGAACAUCUGCUUAUACGAAAACAUAUUAUAUUCAGCCAUCCCUGCCCUGACUUUGGCCUUUAAAAACAGUGGCAUUAAUUAUCUCAACAAAUGAAUCUUCGGGAUAAAAAUAAUCUAAAUAUUAUUUUACGCUUACUACAUAUUUGCAACGUGCUAAGCUCUUUAUGGUUGCUACCACAAAAAACAUUUAUAAUAUGAGGUUGUUUCCGUAUUUUGGCUAUUGUGAAUAGUGCUGCAAUAAACAUGGAAGUGCUGAUAUAUCUUUGAGAUCUUGACUUCAAACAAAAGAAGAAAAUCUUGCAAUAUAUGACAACACGGAUUAACCUGGAGGACAUUGUGCUUAGUGAAGUUAGCCAGUCACAGACUGACAAGUACUGCACGAUUCCACUUAUGUAAGUUUUAUUUUUUUAAUUUUUUACUUCCAUAGGUUUUGGGGAACAGGUGGUAUUUAGUUAAAUGAGUAAGUUCUUUAGUUGUGAUUUGUGAGAUUUUGGUGGACCUGUCUCCCAAGCAGUGUACAGCGAACCCAAUUUGUAUUUUCCUAUCCCUCACCCUCCUCCCACCCUUUCCCUCCUGAGUCCCCAGGGUCCAUUGUAUCACUCUGCCUUUACAUCCUCAUAGCUUAGCUCCCACUUAGGAGUGAGAACAUAUGAUGUUUGGUUUUCUAUUUCUGAGUUACUUCAUUUUGAAUUAUAGUCUCCAGUUCCAUCCAGGUUGCUGCUAUGCCAUUAAUUCAUUCUUUUUUAUGGCUGAGUAGGAUUGUAUCAUAUAUAUACAUAUACAAAUGUGUAUAUACACAAAUAUAUGUAUAUAUAUGUAUAUGUGUAUAUAUACACAAAUAUAUGUAUGUAUGUAUACACACAUACGUGUGUGUAUAUAUGUAUGUGUACACACACAUGUAUGUGUAUACACACACGU
rnacentral:lncRNA from 1 species